rnacentral:ribozyme from 1 species
AAGAGAAAGAAUCUAUUUCUCAUUCUUCUCUUCGUUUACCAUAUUCACAAGGAUUAUUUUUUUCUCCUCUUCGUUCUCCUUCAUCUCUUUCUUCUUCUUAUAUAAAGAGAGAGAGAGAGAAAGAAAGAAGAGAGAGAACGCAAUGAAUCUGGACAGAUUUGAUAUGAUAUGGUUAUUAAUGAAUACUAACUACUUCUUGUAUCUCUUCUAGAAAUUAAUAUAAAGAGAGAGAGAGA